rnacentral:rRNA from 1 species
UACGAAGGGGGGCUAGCGUUGCUCGGAAUCACUGGGCGUAAAGGGUGCGUAGGCGGGUCUUUUAAGUCAGGGGUGAAAUCCUGGAGCUCAACUCCAGAACUGCCUUUGAUACUGAGGAUCUUGAGUUCGGGAGAGGUGAGUGGAACUCCGAGUGUAGAGGUGAAAUUCGUAGAUAUUCGGAAGAACACCAGUGGCGAAGGCGGCUCACUGGCCCGGUACUGACGCUGAGGUGCGAAAGCGUGGGGAGCAAACAGGG